rnacentral:misc_RNA from 1 species
UAACCUCGCCCCUCCUAGUGGUAGGUUAUGUUCAAAAUUUCACAUAUCUUCUAUUUCAGUCCUAAAAAGGUUAAAUGCGUUUGUGGAGAUUGAAGAUGUCUAUUGUUGUUUUUGUUAGGGGUUUGCAUUGGUCAGUUUGGUUUGGUUAGGCCUGAAAAUGACCAAAACCUAAAUAACUGAAUUUACUGGGCAGGGAACUGAACUGUGCCGAAUUCUGUGAGGGAACCAAAGUGAAUUGGUUCAGUUUUAACUAUAUACUGAAAACAUUGGCG